GCGGGACGAAACCGCGCUACUACUAACACCAGCGUAGUAUCGUCUUGCGGUUCCCGCCAAAGAUCCCCCUGACGCCCCCCGGGGGGCCCCCCAUCGCCCUGACUUCAAGGGACUUUACAAUUUUAUGCACUUUUUGUUUGGUCGUUUUCUUAAAUCUCCCUUACUGUUGUUUGUUCUCACCCCGUAGGUAAUUGCUAGAGGCCACCACUUUUCUUUAAACGAUUUGUUGAUCAUGUUCUCCAGAGGGAAGUGAGAUAACACUCCGAGGGCUGGAUAUGGUGGGCACUGCACUUGCAUCGGAGCAGCGAAAGAGACAGGGCGUUUUGUUUGUUCAUAUGCAACAGCGUUGCGCUUAAGUUUGCCAAUGAAGUAAUAUGUAACGUCGUAAAUUUUCUACCGCUUAUCAGCGUCAGCCCUUAGGAGAUGGUUAGGUGGGACGGAAGUGGGUGUGUGCCAAGUAUGCACACUACAAUACUGGGACUGUACCGGAUAGAUGCAGUACAACUAACUACUUGGAGCCAAUAUUUGUUCCCGAGUACGAUGGGCAGGAACGAUCGUUUGAUUAUAGCGCUCGAUCGCGUACGAUUGAGGUUAACCUUGUUUACUACAAAUUUGUCGCUGGAAUCCUAUUAAUGAAUCGGUGCGAACCGGUUCAACGAUGGAUGGAUUAGGUAAGCGAGAUGCUUGUUUGUUUUGCUUUAUUUCUUAAAUCUCCCUUGAGAUGAGUCAUAGAAAUGUUUACUCGAUGUAUCGAGAACGCAAAAAAGCAUCGGUAAUGGAACGCUAGUGAACGUUUCGGAACUACUAUUCCAAAUUACAAUCUUAUCAACACAUCAGCAAAAAGCGUUGUGCCUGAUGCGAAGUUACCUUAAGAGAACAACAACUUGCCCUAUUAGAUAUAAACAACAAAUUUAGAGCUCUCUUCGUCAACAAGAUUGAGCUAUUUCCAUUUCCGGAGCGCAUCAACACGUACUGCGACUUAGGCCUUAGCAAAUCGCUUACAACGGCUCAAGCUCGUGCAAUAUGAAUAGCUUCCUGAUUUAUAGCCUUUCGGGCUCGUGCGUAAUGUAUCCUUUCGAUGGGCAUGUCUGAUAACGAUUUUGUCCCCCACUAAUCGAAAACCGGUUUUACCGCCUUAGUGGUCGACUAGGGAAAGGUGACUAAAAAUAGUGCUUUCAGUUAAUAAUCCGAUCCGAACGGGAACUGGUAACGUGUUGGGACGAGUGUCAACGUGGGUAGUGUGCGUGUGCGUGAACACAAUGUACGUCAGCGGCUAGGCCACGUUCUUCGGGGGGCCAUUUUCUGCAAGGAAGCCGGUUUAUCGUUUGUUCUCGUGAUUGUUUGCUGACGUUGGUGAGAAAUAUGUGAUACUUUCUUCUGCCGCAGUGUUUCGUUGUUACCUGCACCUUCUACCGGCUUGAAGAGUUUAUGACUCGACAGGACCGACCAGCUCGGUGACCAGAGCUGCAUCGAUCGGAAUGCUCGCGGCGGUUUUGUGGGCCGAAAGCUAAAAGAUCCAGCGAUAAAGAGAGAGAGAGAGAGAGAGUUUAGAGAUUUUAAGGCUGUAAGGACGUUGAAGUCCAACAGCAGUUUCUUGAACUCUUCACACAGACAACCAAGAUAGUCCGAAGUGUUACGCAUGAUUGAAUCUCGUUUUGAGAGAAACCUUACGAAAGCAAAUGUCUGCUUAAGAGCGUCGUUCUUUUCUUUAAUAUUCAACCAGUAUCAAUACCGUUCUUAAGGAAUAUUCAAAAAAUUUUGAGGAGCAGUUAAUUGACCGAAGGUCGGAGGCGAAACAAGGCUCGCACUUUAAUUUCUCAAAUCUUUGCUUGCAAUCCAUUACGUUUUUCAGCCAUAUUGCUACGGUAAGACUGAAUAUUGCUAUUUUGAAAAUUUUAUUUGUUGUUUGUUGGAUUUAAGGAUUUCUUCAGCGUAUCUUACAUUUUUACUAUAACGUCGAAAGGCCUGUCUGGCUUCUUGUGACUUGAUCUUACCCACAGAACUGACUUCGAACGGGUGUGACUAGCUGAACUGCGUACUCUUUUGCAGUUCAUCUGCAGUAAUAUAGCCAAGUUAGGAAUGACAAUUUUGCCUGAAAUACUAUAAAGCCGAACAAUGUUGAGACAAUGCAAUCUAGAUGGAAUUUUGGAUCCUCAGGCUAAUGUAUUCCACAAUUCACCUUUCAAGUACUCGUUAAACUAGACAUUAAGUUCUAAUAGCUACACCUUUUUAU